GGUUAAUUGACUGCAUAGCAACACGAUAUAAAUGUCAAAUUAACAUUUCCAUAGUCCACUACAUCCCUACAAGUUUUAACUAGAUCAAACAUGACUGAGAAGCUGAAAUUGUUCCUAAAUCAAAAUACAGGACUACUAAUAUCAAACCAGAUAACAGAGAAAACAUGCUAAACACCAAACUGUCAUUUAAGUCAAGAGACAACAGCAUAUGACCAUAUUUCACUCCUUGGUGGUUUUGUUUAUGAGUGAUUUGUGAAUGUGAGGGAUGACACCGCCACCAGCAAUGGUCCCUUUAAUAAGGGUGUCAAGUUCCUCAUCUCCACGAAUGGCCAGCUGCAGA
rnacentral:misc_RNA from 1 species